AAAGGAUGUGGCGUUGCCCAGACAACUAGGAUGUUGGCUUAGAAGCAGCCAUCAUUUAAAGAGUGCGUAAUAGCUCACUAGUCGAGUGACACUGCGCCGAAAAUGUACCGGGGCUAAACAUAUUACCGAAGCUGUGGAUUGUCCGUAGGACAAUGGUAGGAGAGCGUUCUAAGGGCGUUGAAGCAUGAUCGCAAGGACAUGUGGAGCGCUUAGAAGUGAGAAUGCCGGUGUGAGUAGCGAAAGACGGGUGAGAAUCCCGUCCACCGAUUGACUAAGGUUUCCAGAGGAAGGCUCGUCCGCUCUGGGUUAGUCGGGUCCUAAGCUGAGGCCGACAGGCGUAGGCGAUGGAUAACAGGUUGAUAUUCCUGUACCACCUAGCAUCGUUUUAAUCGAUGGGGGG
rnacentral:rRNA from 1 species